AGUUCGAUUAUGGCUCAGAUUGAACGCUGGCGGGAUGCUUUACACAUGCAGGUGAACGUAGCCUGGACUUCGGUCUGGUGGCGAGUGGCGAACGGGUGAGUAAUGUAUCGGAACGUGCUAGUAGCGGGGGAUAACUACGCGAAAGCGUAGUAUUUUCCAUACGCCCUUCGAAGCAGGGGACCUUCGGGCUCACACCUAACAAACGACAAUAUCGGAUUAGCUAGUUGGUGGGAGUAACGGCUCACCAUGGCGACAAUCCGUAGCUGGUUUUGAAGGACGACCAGCCACACUGGGACUGAGACACGGCCCAGACUCUACGGGAAGCAGCAGUGGGAAUUUUGGACAAUGGGGAAACCCUGAUCCAGCCAUCCCGCGUGUCCGACGAAGGCCUUCGGGUUGUAAAGCACUUUUUUGGCAGGAAAGAAACGGCACGGGAUAAUACCCCGUGCAACUGACAGUACCUGCAGAAUAAGCACCAACUAACUACGUGCCAGCAGCCGCGGUAAUACGUAGGGUGCAAGCGUUAAUCGGAAUUACUGGGCGUAAAGCGUGCGCAGGCGGUUCCGGAAGAAAGAUGUGAAAUCCCAGAGCUUAGCUUUGGAACUGCAUUUUUAACUACCGAGCUAGAGUGUGUCAGGAGGUGCGAAUUGUAGCAGUGAAAUGCGUAGAUAUGCGGAGAACACCGAUGGCGAGGCGCUCACGGGAUCUUAGCGCUCAUGCACGAAAGCGUGGGAGCGAGCAAGUUAGAUACCUGGUAGUCCACGCCCUAAACGAUGUCAACUAGCUGUUGGGGCCUUCGGGCCUUGGUAGCGCAGCUAACGCGUGAAGUUGACCGCCGCCUGGGGAGUACGGUCGCAAGAUUAAAACUCAAAGGAAUUGACGGGGACCGCACAAGCGGUGGAUGAUGUGGAUUAAUUCGAUGCAACGCGAAACCUUACCUACCCUCCAGCCUUAGGUCCCAGAGAGAUUUGGGAGUGCUCGCAAGAGAACCGGAACACAGGUGCUGCAUGGCUGUCGUCAGCUCGUGUCGUGAGAUGUUGGGUUAAGUCACUGACGACAUGACCCUUGUCAUUAGUUGCUACGAAGGGCACUCUAAUAGGACUGCCGGUGACAAACCGGAGGAAGGUGGGGAUGACGUCAGAGUCCUCAUAGCCCAUAUGGGUAGGGCUUCUUGCCCACGUCAUACAAUGGUCGGGACAGAGGGUCGCCAACCCGCGAGGAGCCAAUCCCAGAAACCCGAUCGUAGUCCGGAUCUGAUCUGCAACUCGACUGCGUGAAGUCGGAGAUCCGCUAGUAAUCGCGGAUCAGCAUGUCGCGGUGAAUACGUUCCCGGGUCGGCAUGCGCACCGCCCGUCACACCAUGGGAGUGGGUUUUACCAGAAGUAGUUAGCCUAACCGUAAGGAGGGCGAUUACCACGGUAGGAUUCAUGACUGGGGUGAAGUGUAACAAGGUAG
rnacentral:rRNA from 1 species